rnacentral:tRNA from 1 species
CUGUAUACGUAAUUUAAUUAAAAUGCUAGAUUGUGACUCUAG